AGUGAACGCUGGCGGUAGGCCUAACACAUGCAAGUCGAACGGCAGCACAGUAAGAGCUUGCUCUUACGGGUGGCGAGUGGCGGACGGGUGAGGAAUACAUCGGAAUCUACUUUUUCGUGGGGGAUAACGUAGGGAAACUACGCUAAUACCGCAUACGAACUACGGGUGAAAGCAGGGGAUCUUCGGACCUUGCGCGAUUGAAUGAGCCGAUGUCGGAUUAGCUAGUUGGCGGGGUAAAGGCCCACCAAGGCGACGAUCCGUAGCUGGUCUGAGAGGAUGAUCAGCCACACUGGAACUGAGACACGGUCCAGACUCCUACGGGAGGCAGCAGUGGGGAAUAUUGGACAAUGGGCGCAAGCCUGAUCCAGCCAUACCGCGUGGGUGAAGAAGGCCUUCGGGUUGUAAAGCCCUUUUGUUGGGAAAGAAAAGCAGCAGGUUAAUACCCCGCUGUUCUGACGGUACCCAAAGAAUAAGCACCGGCUAACUUCGUG
rnacentral:rRNA from 1 species